rnacentral:rRNA from 1 species
UACGGAGGGGGCUAGCGUUGUUCGGAAUUACUGGGCGUAAAGCGCGCGUAGGCGGCUUUGUAAGUUAGAGGUGAAAGCCCGGAGCUCAACUCCGGAAUUGCCUUUAAGACUGCAUCGCUAGGAUCAUGGAGAGGUGAGUGGAAUUCCGAGUGUAGAGGUGAAAUUCGUAGAUAUUCGGAAGAACACCAGUGGCGAAGGCGACUCACUGGACAUGUAUUGACGCUGAGGUGCGAAAGCGUGGGGAGCAAACAGG